GUGGGAGUGCCGGAGUCUGGAAAACGGGCAGGACUUAAGAUCCUGUGACUUAGUGUCUACGCAGGUUCAAAUCCUGUCUCCCACA
rnacentral:tRNA from 1 species